GUCCCAACCAUCAUGUAUUUCUGCCUGGUUUUCUUUUAGAAUGCAGCAGCUGGAGUCGACAUUAAAGAGCGCCGUUUCCCAUUUGCUGCGGAAGAUGUUUAAUUGGAAGUCUCUCCCUGCCCCUCGGGUAAAUUCUGCUAUGUCUCCUCCAGCCCUGGCCAAACUUCAAAUAUGAGAAAGUGCUGGAAUCACCUCAGAGCACUUGAGUACUUGCCCUGUGAAGAUAGCAAGGAAAUGGGAGAGGAUUUGAAGGAUUUGCUUAAGAGCGGCUUUGAAGACCUCCAACAGGGCGAGAGAGCCAGCUCAGCACAGAGCCAGCCUAGAGCGGGAGCAUUUUUCUAGUGAGUUCAUCUUUAAUUUGCAACUAUGGCACAAAGGAAGGAGCAGCUGUGGAGACCAGGGCAUUGGUGAAAUGAAAGCAUAUUGUUUCCCUCCACCUUCCCCACCCUGGGGAGGCCGGGGGUUCUCCAAGGCGGAUACUCUCUAAGUGAAAUCUAUGGAAUUUUGGAAACAAGUUAAAAGGCAUACUCGAGUGCAUUGCACAUGCUCACCGAGGAGC